rnacentral:rRNA from 1 species
UCCCCUAGUAACGGCGAGUGAAGCGGGAAGAGCUCAAAUUUGAAAUCUGGCGGUCUACGGCCGUCCGAGUUGUAAUCUAGAGAGGUGUUUUCCGUGCCGGACCGUGUACAAGUCCCUUGGAACAGGGCGUCAUAGAGGGUGAGAAUCCCGUCCAUGACACGGACUACCGGUGCUCUGUGAUACACCUUCAAAGAGUCGAGUUGUUUGGGAAUGCAGCUCAAAAUGGGUGGUAAAUUCCAUCUAAAGCUAAAUACAGGCGAGAGACCGAUAGCGAACAAGUACCGUGAGGGAAAGAUGAAAAGAACUUUGGAAAGAGAGUUAAACAGUACGUGAAAUUGUUGAAAGGGAAACGCUUGAAGUCAGUCGCGUCUGCCAGGACUCAGCCUUGCUUCUGCAUGGUGCAUUUCCUGGUGGAUGGGCCAGCAUCGAUUUUGGUCGCCGGACAAGGGCGGGAGGAAUGUGGCAGCUUGCUGUGUUAUAGCCUCCCGUCGUACACGGUGGUUGGGAUCGAGGACUGCAGCACGCCUUUGGUCGGGGUUCGCCCACGCCACGUGCUUAGGAUGCUGGCGUAAUGGCUUUAAACGACCCGUCUUGAAACACGGACCAAGGAGUCUAACAUGCCUGCGAGUGUUUGGGCGUUAAACCCAGGCGCGUAAUGAAAGUGAAAAGUUGGGACUCUUUAGUGAGGCACCGACGCCCGAUCCUGACGUUCUCUGACGGAUUUGAGGUAGAGCAUGUAUGUUGGGACCCGAAAGAUGGUGAACUAUGCCUGAAUAGGGUGAAGCCAGAGGAAACUCUGGUGGAGGCUCGUAGCGAUUCUGACGUGCAAAUCGAUCGUCAAAUUUGGGUAUAGGGGCGAAAGACUAAUCGAACC